UGAGGGAAUAUUGGGGUCAAUGGACGGAAGUCUGAACCAGCCAUGCCGCGUGAAGGAAUAAGGCCCUAUGGGUCGUAAACUUCUUUUGUGGUGGAGCAAUAAGAUCUACGCGUAGGUCGAUGAGAGUACAUCACGAAUAAGCAUCGGCUAACUCCGUGCCAGCAGCCGCGGUAAUACGGAGGAUGCAAGCGUUAUCCGGAAUUAUUGGGUUUAAAGGGUGCGUAGGCUGUUUUGCAAGUCAGGGGUGAAAGCCCGGAGCUCAACUCCGGAACUGCCUUUGAUACUGCGAGGCUGGAAUACGGAUGCCGUGGGGAUGUGUCAAGUAGCGGUGAAAUGCAUAGAUAUGACACAGAAGGCCGAUUGCGAAGGCAGCUGGC
rnacentral:rRNA from 1 species